rnacentral:rRNA from 1 species
UACGUAGGUAGCAAGCAUUGUCCGGAAUAACUGGGCGUAAAGGGAGUGUAGGUGGUAAAGUAAGUUAAAUGUGAAAUUCCGAGGCUUAACUUCGGGGGUGCAUUUGAUACUGCUUUACUAGAGUGCAGGAGGGGUAAGAGGAAUUCCUAGUGUAGCGGUGAAAUGCGUAGAUAUUAGGAGGAACACCAGUGGCGAAGGCGACUCUCUGGUCUAUAACUGACGCUGAGGCGCGAAAGCGUGGGGAGCAAACAGG